GUGAGUAUACUCGAACCCAUUUUUACUUUUAACACUUUGGGUGCAACAUGUAUUCUAUAUUAAACGCACAUGACACUUGAAACUUAUUUGAAACUUACUCUAUCCAUUUAAACAUGAAACAUGAAACUUGUGAAUCUUGAGACUAUUUUGUGCUAUGUGAACGUUUAAUUCUUGUGUGUAGUUCCGCCUUAACAAUAGUAGCGCUAUAGGAGUAAUGCACCUCCCCGUUAGUCUUUGGGGUAUUGUUAGGAGGAGACAUAUCAACCUCCCGUACUUUAACGCAUUGGGAAACUUGGGCUAUCACUUGGACUACGUAAACUAGCACGUUGAAACUAUUUUAUUAUGUUCAUGUUGGAUAUGAGUUUUUAUUCUAUUAUGCUAUGUAAACAAACUUGUAUACUCGCUCUUUGCUUUUGCAUUGAAACUCUAUUUUAAUACAUGUUGCAGGUUGACAGUCAAGAUGUUGAAGAAUCAAGUUAGGAUGGACUAGAUACCCAUU
rnacentral:lncRNA from 1 species